AUUGAACGCUGGCGGCAGGCCUAACACAUGCAAGUCGAGCGGAUGAAGGGAGCUUGCUCCUGGAUUCAGCGGCGGACGGGUGAGUAAUGCCUAGGAAUCUGCCUGGUAGUGGGGGAUAACGUCCGGAAACGGGCGCUAAUACCGCAUACGUCCUGAGGGAGAAAGUGGGGGAUCUUCGGACCUCACGCUAUCAGAUGAGCCUAGGUCGGAUUAGCUAGUUGGUGGGGUAAAGGCCUACCAAGGCGACGAUCCGUAACUGGUCUGAGAGGAUGAUCAGUCACACGGGAACUGAGACACGGUCCAGACUCCUACGGGAGGCAGCAGUGGGGAAUAGUGGACAAUGGGCGAAAGCCUGGUCCAGCCAUGCCGCGUGUGUGAAGAAGGUCUUCGGAUUGUAAAGCACUUUAAGUUGGGAUGAAGGGCAGUAAGUUAAUACCUUGCUGUUUUGACGUUACCAACAGAAUAAGCACCGGCUAACUUCGUG
rnacentral:rRNA from 1 species